rnacentral:antisense_RNA from 1 species
GCGGCCCGUAGUCCUUCUGCGAGGGCGCGAGGACCCCAGGAGCAGUCCUGGUUCGGGCAUUUUUGAAGAAACUGAGUUCCCGGCGUUCGCAGCCUGGGAGUCACAGGCGCCCACCCACCGGUGUUGGAAGGGCAUGAGAAACAAGGGGAUAACAAGGGCACCCAAAGGCUGACCCCCACAAGGCUAGAGGAGCAACAGGAAAAUUCGUUUCCAGAGACUGAUUCCUCAGCUGCUGAGCAGGAGCCUGGAGCCACACUUGCUGCCUGGUACUACUGACACACAACUGGAACCACCGCUGUGGCCUGGGGUGCCACCAGAAGCCAGAGAUUAGAAUUGCUUUCCCCAUCUCAUGUCUUCCAAACUCCCACCAGUGCCUCCCACUGGCUGAGUCAGAUGACAAGGGAGUCUGGGAAAUGUAGUUGUCUGGCUUCCAGCCCUGACCAUGGAGAGUACAGAAAGGCAGGUGUAGGGGAGAAAAUAGAUGCCAUUCACACAACGCCUAUCUUGCAGGGCUGUUUUGAGGAGUAAAAACUCAGCCUAUUUUAUUCCUCAUAGCAUGUAGUAGCAUUCAGGGAAAGGCAAAUCUUCCAAAACAAUAUCUUAGGUAUAAUAGUUCUACAUAAAGGUUUGAAUUUACCAUUAAAAGCAUCAAAAUGAGCAUUUUAAAAGUAGAAUUUUAAGUCUGAAUGGGCAGUAUAUUCACAUGGUAUAAAAUUCAAAUUACAAAACAAUAUACAGUGAAAAAUAAGGGGGUUUUUUUGCUCAUCUUCUUGUGACCUGGCUCUUUCCAUCUCUGUCCACAACCCUCUGCAGGCAAUAACUGGUACCUUUGUUAUGGAUCCUCUGCAGAUAUAAAGUAGACAUAUAUUAACAAAUGUUUUCUUUGUCCCAGAGGAUGCAUAUUAUGCACAUUCCUCCAUUUCUUGUUUGUUUUUGUUUUUUCCACUUAAUUGUAUCUUGGAGAUCACUCUGCAUCAGUAUAUAUCUGAUUUGUUUUAGCAGUACAUGAUAAUCCAUUGUUUGGAUAUGCCAUAAUUGUAUCAGCCAGUCUCUGGACAGUCUUUUACUAUUUCAAGGAGUGCUGCAGUAAACAUGUUUGCGCCACUUCCUGGUACCCAUUGCAAAUAAAACUGGGAUAAUUUCCUGACGAG